rnacentral:lncRNA from 1 species
CCUCUCGCCCGCCUUCUCUGGGGCUUGCUUCUUCACCAGGCAUCCGUCGAGCCUUUUCCAUGUCCCCGGUGGACGCAGCCCUUCGCAACGUCCACUCCCAUGGCCGCUAGCCUGAGGAGGCCGUCUUUCACCGCCUGUUCUUCCUCCCCUCCGGACGCGGACGACGAGGGUGUGCGCGGCUCUUGCGGAGAUGCUUCUGUGUGCAAGCGAUGUGCAGUGAGCAGUGGCUACUGGCAGGACCCUUGCAUCCCGCAUUUGGUGAGACUGUCUAAAGAGAGGAAGGCCCCCAAAAUUAACAGAGGAUGAGGAUCUUCUAUCAAGUACAUCUUGGAAAGUCGAUGUUUCAGGGAUCGUCAUGAGGAAGCUGCACAGCAUCAAGUAAGUGCGGCUUUGGCCGGAAGCCAGAGCCCAGUGGCAUCAGAACCAGCUCCUGGCAGACGGCAGGGCUGACUGCCGGAGACCUCACUGUAGGCACUGCCUUCCUUUCCUGGCCUCCUCCCUCUCUCCCUGGCCCUGGACCCUCACUGCAGUGUGUCCUGCAGUCUUCAAAAUGAAAUAGACCCUCUCCUGUGACCUUUCUGUCCAAGAAUGUGAUUUCUCUAACAUUGAAACAAAUGAUCUAUUGUCGUUUAGUGAUCUGAAUUUUCAUGUGUAUUUGGCUUAUGUCUUCACCCCCAGGAUACAGAAAAGUGCCUGGCUCAGACUAGAUGUGUUGUAAAUAUUUUUGAAUGAACCCAUGGGGGGCUGAGCUGAAUCAGUGAUCAUAUCUGAGAUAUUGGGGGGAUUUGCAUUCUGAGUCUAGUCUUCAUGGAAUUUGUCAAGCUCUAAGUGAUGAGGUUGCUGCUCUUUGCCAAGAGCUUUCCUUUGCCAAGUCCCAUGGUACAUGCCUCAUUUGCAUUGUUUCAUUCAGUCCUCGGAGGCCACUCCUGGAUGAAGUGCUGUCAUUAGCCCCUUUUGACAGAUGAGAAACCUUAGGCUCAAAGAAGUGCAGUGAAUUUGCCUCCGGUCACCUGGCUAGAAAGAGGAUGGAGCAGGGAUUUAAACGCUGACCUCCAGACCAAGGUUAAGGUAUCCCAAUGGUUUUAACCUACAGUCCCUCCCUCCUUUUUAUAUUAGUCAUGUCAAUCAAGUCCUAAUUCUUAUAUUUCACAAAAAUUUUUAUUUAUUUAUUUUUCUGCUGUACAGCAUGGGGGACAAGAUACACUUACAUGAAUGUUUUUUUUCUCCACCCUUUGUUAUGUUACAAUAUGAGUAUCUAGACAUAGUUCUCAUGCUACUCAGCAGGAUCUCAUUGUAAAUCCAUUCCAAGUUGUAUCUGAUAACCCCAAGCUCCCGAUCCCUCCCACUCCCUCCCUCACCCCCCGGGCUGCCACAAGUCUAUUCUCCAGGUCCAUGAUUUUCUUUUCUGUGGAAAUGUUCAUUUCUGCUGUAUAUUAGAUUCCAGUUACAAGUGAAAUCAUAUAAUAUUUGUCUUUGUCUUUAUGGCUCAUUUCACUCAGUAUGAGAGUCUCUAGUUCCACCCAUGUUGCUAUAAAUGGUAUUAUGUCAAUCUUUUUUAUGGCUGAGUAGCAUUCCAUUGUGUAUAUAUACCACAUCUUCCUAAUCCAAUCAUCUGUCAAUGGACAUUGGGUUGUUUCCAUGUCCUGGCUAUUGUGAAUAGUGCUGCAAUGAACAUGCGGGUGCAUGUGUCUCUUUUAAGUAGAGUUUUGUCUGGAUGUAUGCUCAAGAGUGGGAUUGAAGGAUCAUAUGGAAGUUCUAUGUAUACAUUUCUAAGGUGUCUCCAAACUGUUCUCCAUAGUGACUGUACCAGUUUAUAUCCCCACCAGCAGUGCAGGAGGGUUCCCUUUUCUGCACAACCCCUCUAGCACUUGUUAUUUGUGGACUUAUUAAUGAUGGCCAUUCUGACUGGUGUGAGGUGGUAUCUCAUGGUAGUUUUGAUUUGCAUUUCUCUUAUAAUCAGAGAUGUUGAACAUUUUUGCAUGUGCUUGUUGGCCAUCUGUAUAUCUUCCUUGGAGAAAUGUCUAUUCAGCUCUUUUGCCCAUUUUUUCCAUUGUGUGAUUGGCUUUUUUGCUGUUGAGUUGUAUAAGUUGCUUGUAUAUUCUAGAGAUUAAGCCCUUGUCCAUUGCAUCAUUUGAAACUAUUUUCUCCCAUUCUGUAAGUUGUCUUUUUGUUUUCUUUUGGGUUUCCUUUGCUGUGCAAAAGCUUUUCAGUUUGAUGAGGUCCCAUGGGUUUAUUUUUGCUCUAAUUUCUAUUGCUUUGGGAGACUGACCUGAGAAAAUAUUCAUGAUGUUGAUGUCAGAGAGUGUUUUGCCUAUGUUUUCUUCUAGGAGUUUGAUGGUGUCCUGUCGUAUAUUUAAGUCUUUCAGCCAUUUGGAGUUUAUUUUUGUGCAUGGUGUGAGGGUGUGUUCUAGUUUCAUUGCUUUGCAUGCAGCUGUCCAGGUUUCCCAGCAAUGCUUGCUGAAUAGACUUUCUUUUUCCCAUUUUAUGUUCUUGCCUCCCUUGUCAAAGAUUAAUUGACCAUAGGUGUCAGGGUUUAUUUCCGGAUUCUCUAUUCUGUUCCAUUGGUCUGUCUGUCUGUUUUGAUACCAGUACCACACUGUUUUGAUGACUGUGGCUUUGUAGUAUUUCUUGAAGUCUGGGAGAGUUAUGCCUCCUGCUUGGUUUUUGUUUCUCAGGAUUGCUUUGGCGAUUCUGGGUCUUUUGUGGUUCCAUAUAAAUGUUUGGAUUGUUUGUUCUAGUUCUGUGAAAAAUGUCAUGGGUAAUUUGAUAGGGAUUGCAUUGAAUCUGUAGAUUGCUUUGGGUAGUAUGGCCAUUUUUACAAUAUUGAUUUUCCCAAUCCAGGAACAUGGAAUAUCUUUCCAUUUCUUUACAUCUUCUUUGAUUUCUUUGAUUAAAGUUUUAUAGUUCUCGGCAUAUAGGUCCUUUACCUCCUUGGUCAGGUGUAUUCCAAGGUAUUUGAUUUUGUGAGGUGCAAUUUUAAAAGGUAUCGUAUUUUUGUAUUCCUUUUCUAAUAUUUCAUUGCUGGUAUACAGAAAUGUGACUGACUUCUGAAUGUUAAUCUUAUAUCCUGCUACUUUGCUGAAUUUAUUAAUCAGUUCAAGUAGUUUUGGGGUUGAGUCCUUAGGGUUUUCUGUGUUUAGUAUCAUGUCAUCUGCAUACAGUGACAGUUUUCUCUCUUCUCUUCCUCUUUGUAUCCUUUUAUUUCUUUUGUUUGUUUAAUCACUGUGGCUAGGACUUCCAAAACUAUGUUGAACAGCAGUGAUGGGAGUGGGCAUCCCUGUCUUGUUCCAGAUUUGAGUGAGAAGACUUUCAGUUUUUCUCCAUUGAGUAUUAUAUUUGCUGUGGGUUUGUCAUAAAUGGCUUUGAUCAUGUUCAGGAAUGUUCCCUCUAUACCCACUUUGGCAAGAGUCUUGAUCAUGAAUGGAUGUUGGACUUUGUCACAUGCUUUUUCUGCAUCUGUUGAGAUGAUCAUACGAUUUUUGACUUUUUUUUUUGUUAAUGUGGAGUAUGACGUUUAUUGAUUUGGAUAUGUUGACCCAUCCUUGUGAACCUGGGAUGAACCCCACCUGGUCAUUUUGUAUGAUCCUUUUGAUAUGUUGUUGGAUUUGGUUGGCUAAGAUUUUGUUGAGAAUUUUUGCAUCUAUAUUCAUCAAAGAUACUGGCUUCUAGUUUACUUUUUUGGCGGUAUCUUUUUCUGGUUUUGGAACUAGGGUGAUGGUGGCAUCAUAGAAUGUCUUUGGGAGUGUUCUUCUUCAUCCUUUUGAAAAAGGUUAAGGAGGAUGGGCACCAGAUCCUCUUUGUAUCUUUGGUAGAAUUCACCUGUGUAGCCAUCUGGUCCUGGGGUUUUAUUUGUAGGGAGUGUUUUUAUGAUGUAUUCAAUUUCAUUUCUGUUCAGUUGGUCUGUUUCUUCUUGAUUUACUUUUGGAAGGCUAUAAGAUUCUAGAAAGUUGUCCAUUUUUUCCAGAUUGUCAAAUUUGUUGGCAUAUAGUUGUUCAUAGUAUUCUGGUUUUUUUUUGUUUGUUUGUUUGUUUGUUUGUUUUUUGUAUUUCUUCAGUAUCCAUUGUGAUUUCUCCUUUUUCAUUUCCAAUUUUAUUUGGGUUCUUUCUCUCCUUUUCUUAGUGAGUCUACCAGGGGGUUGUCAAUUUUGUUUACCUUUUCAAAGAACCAGCUCUUGGUUUUAUUAACUUUAUUGUUUUUUGAAUCUCUAUUUUAUUGAUUUCCUCUUUGAUCUUUAUAAUUUCCUUCCUUCGGCUGACUUUAGGUCUUUUUUGUUCUUCUUUUUCUAAUUUGUUUAGGUGGAGGGUUAAGUUGUCAAUUUGAGAUCUUCUUUUUUGAGGAAGGCGUGUAUUGCUAUGAAUUUCCCUCUGAGCACUGCUUUUGCAGUGUCCCAUAGAUUUUGAGAGGUUGUGUCUUCAUUAUGAUUUGUCUCCAGGUAUUUUUAAAUUUCCUUCUCGACUCUCUCAUCCACCCAUUGGUUUUUUAGUAGCAUGUUGUUUAGUCCCCAUGUAGUAGGUUUUUUCUCAUUUCUUUUCCUGUGGUUGAUUUCUAGUUUCAUGCCAUUGUGGUCGGAGGAGAUACUUGAAAUAACUUCUGUGCUUCUAAAUUUGUUGAGGUUAGCUUUGUGUCCCAAUAUGUGGUUGACUCUUGAGAAUGUUCCAUGUGCACUUGAGAAGAAUGUGUAUUCUGAUUUUUUUGGAUGUAGUGUCCUGAAGAUGUCAAUUAAGUCUAUCUUUUCUAUUGUUUCCUUUAAGAUUUCUGUUGCUUUUUGGUUUUCUGUCUAGAGGAUCUGUCCAUUGAUGUGAGCAGGGUACUAAAGUCUCCUACUAUGAUUGUAUUCCCAUCAGUUUCUCCCUUUAUGUCUGUUAAUAUUUGUUGUAUGUAUUGGAAACUCUCUAAAUGCUUCUCCUGAGUAGAAGAGAGAAACCAGUUAUAGUUUAUUCAGAUAAUGGAAUACUAUACAGCAAUGAGGUUUUACAAACUUGGUAUGAAACCAGAUUGAUAAAUCUCAAAAAUACAGUGUUGAGUGAAAGAAGUCAAAUACAAAGAAAGCAUAUUCUUCACAAAGCCAUUACCUAAAGUUCCAAGACAGGCAGAACAAAUUUGUGUUGACUGAAUCCAGGAUUGUUGUCUUCCUUGGGAGAUAUUAACUAGUAGGAGACCUAAUUUAGGGUCUUUUGAGGUGUAUUGAUGUUAAUCUUUGCAUCUGUGUUCUGAUGAUGCAAGGGUGGGUUUAUUUUAUGAAAUUUCAACAUGUCCUCAUCUUUUGGAUUGUGCACUUUUGGGAUUGAAUGAGUCUCAACAAAUAUUGAUAGUGGUUAUCUCAUUGCUGGGUUUGCAGAAUUCUUUUCUUCUUAUACUUCAUUUAUUGCUUGAAUCUUACUAUGAGCAUACAUUGUCUUUUCACAAAAUAUAUAUUAUCCAUCUCACAAUUUAUGACAUUGUUUUUCUUGAAGUUUAUCUAUAAAAUCAAGAUGUUGGCUGUUUGCUUGAAGACCCUUCCACAUGUAUUCAAUUAAUCAAAAUUAGGAGUUCUAGUGUACACCCCUAGUGAAUAGAUUGCCAUUAGUUGGUUAAUGUAUCAGCAAUGAUAUAUAGUGUAUGUUUACAGACAUUUUGUCUUUUGAUUUCAGUUAAUGAACACAAAUGAGAAACAAUCAUGGGAGUAUAUAUGGAAAAAUUAAAAGUGAUGCUUUUGUAUAAUGACACUUUCUAUGAAUUGAGGAUAUAAUCUAACUGAUCAUAUAUACUUGCUUCUGAUGUAUGGACAAAAGUAUUUUUCAGUGACAUUGUCUUUACAAUAAGGAAUAUCAAAUAAGUAUUACUUCAUACAAUAAGUGCUUGAAAUAUAGUUGUGAAAAAGUAAGCAGUGGAUGGUAUGGAUAUAUCUAUAAUUUUAACAACAUUCUACAGAAACAACAGUGUGGGCAGGAAACUGCAAAAAAAAUUUUAGAAGAUUCAUGUUGAAACUAGACUAAUAUUUAAACAGUUUUAAAUAAACAAGGAAGUCAACAAACUGUUUAUAGAGUCAAAUAAUAGUUUUGGCUUUGUGGAUCAGUCUAUGUGACAACUAAUAACUUCAAUAUUUGUAGCACAAAAUCAGCCACAGAUGAUACAGAGACAUGUAAACAAAUGCGAAAGUUUGUGUCACAAUAAACUUUAACAAAAGAACAGGUGACAGACAAGAUUUGGUCCACAGGCCCCCGUUUUCAAAUUCCUAAAAUAGAUUACUAUGGGACUUAGAUUCUGAGCUUUUUUGAUUCUGAUAUGAAAGAGUCAUUUAUAUUAUGAAUUUUAAAUUCAUCACACAAUUCUUUUGAAUCUAUGAACCUAUUUAAGUAUUUUCAUUUCAAUAAAAAUUUCCUAA